UCCACAGUGUUGACGAGGAUACAGUGAUACAGAUGAAAUCCUCGACACAUGUUCCAAUGAUGAGUCAGAGCUUUUACUUCUUCCUGUUAUUGUCUCACUCACAGUGAUGCAACAAGGUCAAGUGUUAUAGAGCAGACGGUUGGCUCAUUGGUGGGCAGGGCCGAGCAUGACUCACACGUCUGUCAGUGAAAAUAUUUAUAUUAGCGUGAACUUUGGAGCUUUGUGUAACACAACGACGUCUUGCUCCUCCCACGUAACAUGGGCUACAAACACUUGCCUUCCGUUUGUCGGUGAGUGAAUAACCUAACUCAUCGACCACAGCUUUUGAUUCAUGUGAGGAAAAGUAGAUUUAUAAUAUCUGUGUCGGGAAAAUCAUCUCAAAUCAUCUGUGAUGUCGACAAUGAAGCACAUCCCAUGUUCUGCUUGGACAUCCUGGUUUGAGUUCAAAGGUUUUUUGGAUUCUUGUUCAAAUGAAAAAAGGUGAUGCUGAAAAACAACAAAUACUCUGAGAUGAAGUGAACGUACCUGUCCAGUAGAACCAGAACCAGAACCAGAGCCACCAUGACAUCAGCACCGAUGCUCACUCUGGUCUUGGGUCGAUCUGCAUCAGACUUCUUCCUGAAGAACAUCUUUGAUUUGCAACCGACACCUUUUCUGUGUAACGUUGCUGCAACGAUCCAAUGACUUCUACUCGUACUUCAUAUGAUUGGAUGGUGUUUUUACUCACCUGACAUUAGUAAUGUUUGUUACAAUCACAACACAAAUGAUCUUUCAUUGUUUGAGUAAUGCUCCCAUAAACAGUGAUUAGCUCAUGUUAGCUUUAUAAACCAUGAAUACCUUCAUUAACCUGAAUAACACCAUUAAAUGGUUUGUUAAAACAUUAGCAGUUAAUAUUAAAUAAUGUCCCCUUGUUGUAAAAAUGUGUUUAUUUAUUGACGCGUCACGGAGGAGACACUGAUGGCUACACACACACA